GCACAUCACCGACACGCGUGUGUGGUACGUGGCGUGCUCCAGCCGGAGCCGCGCCUUGAGCAGGCCCCUGAACACUGGAAGCAGCACAGAGCAGCCGUCAGUGUCACCUUGCAGCGUCUUUUCUUCUCGUUCUGUACACUGCAAUCUUCGCCUAAGCACAGGCGAAGUUGGCGAGGUCACGGAACUUGUUAGCCAGGUAAGGCACCACCCCAUAUACAAAGCUGCUGUUGUAGAAGGGCACCCCCAGUAUCCUGAAGAUAUCCCCCAAAAGGCGUACCACUGAUUUGAGCCACUGGCAGCGUAAGUACUGGUGGGGCAGAUCCUCCCUGGCACUGCAGGAAAUGCACCAAGUCUGUUACCCCUGGCGAGAUUCGGCUGAGCCACACGACCGGUGGCAACGUGCAGCGUGCCAACCUCCACUGGAGGUCACCGCAGCGUUUGGCUACGGGAGACUUUGUACAUUUGUUUCCACUGGGGGGUGGCCGCAAUGAGGCGAGAGAAAUGGUCUCUCUGUUUUGUGUCCGGUAGGUCGGCCAGGUCCCGGGAAUCCAGCGCCUUGACACAGCCACGUGUAGAGCGCUGUGCUUGGGGCACUCUUCAGGGGCACGUUCCUGCAACCUCGGAGCUUCAGUAGCUUACCGGAGUCGCUGUGGCCUGGAGGCUGCAUGCAGGAGACGCACAACUCCGGGAAUAAGGAGGGGAGGGGGGGUAGUAGAGCCGCUACCGUCCCCUGACACCUCCAGCUUCAGGCGCAGCUCCUUCAUGGCGCGGAGCGACGUCCCGCAGCAGCUUCUCCCCGGCGAGCAUGGAGCGGAGUCCCGCGGUGCUGGCGAUCUCAGCUGCGGUCUUCCACUUAGGCUGGUGGGCCUGUACGAGGUCGAAGACUGUCCGCAGCCCUGCUGAUGUGAGGCGUAGAGGCAGGGUCAUCUCUCCUCUGAUCCCCUGGAAGAGGUCGUUGCAAAACACGGGUUCGUUCAGGAACUGCGGAAGGUCGUAGGGCGCGCACAUUCUGCUCGACUCGAAGCUCCGCAAGGCGACCAAGAUACUCUGGUGAUAAGCUUGAAGCCUCGUGUACUCGAUCAUGCUCAGGACCAUCAGGAAGAGCCCUUUCCGUACCCCAGGCACACCCCCCCCCCCCCCCCGGCGACUUCCAGGGUCGCUCCUCUCGGUCGUACAGUAGCCGCCUGACGGCCAUGAGCCUGAAGCUCAUUACCCUGAAGGCGACGUCCACCAGACCCUGGCCGCCCUCGCCCACCAGACCCUGGCCGCCCUCGCCCACCGGCAGGCAGACGACGCCCGGCCUGAGCCGGUGCUUUCUGUGCCAGACGAAGUGCGCGAGUGAGCGGUCGACUCUGGUGAGUAGCCAAGCAGGAGGCUGGAGGGCCUUGGUCUUGUGCCACAGCACGGAUGCUGCCAGGGUGUUAUCGACGAACACUCGGCCCCUGAAGGACAUCUGUGGAGCGAGGCGAGCCCAAGUCAGUAAUUUAGCCUCGAUUGUAUCAGCCAGCUCGGUCCAUUUGUUUAGAGCGACGUCACGUGGUUUCCCCAGGUAAACCCCCAGGUACUUGACUCAGUCGUCCUGCCAACUGGCUCCUCCUGGGAGAAGCACAAAGCGAACGCCGCCUCGUGACCCCAAACACAGAGGGGGCCUCGCACUUGGCCCAGUUGACCCUGGCGGAGGAGGCCCUCUCGUACACUGCAACCGCCUGGCAGAGCACGGAGGCAUAAUGUGUGUCGUUGAGCACGACGCAUGACGUCGUCUGUGUAAGCCGAGAACUUGACAACCGCGUUCUCAGGUCCCGGGACCUUGAGGCCAGACAGGUUUCAUCUCAGGUGGCGUAAUAGUGGCUCAACGGACAGGG